rnacentral:rRNA from 1 species
GACGAACGCUGGCGGCGUGCCUAAUACAUGCAAGUCGAACGCUUCUUUCCUCCCGAGUGCUUGCACUCAAUUGGAAAGAGGAGUGGCGGACGGGUGAGUAACACGUGGGUAACCUACCCAUCAGAGGGGGAUAACACUUGGAAACAGGUGCUAAUACCGCAUAACAGUUUAUGCCGCAUGGCAUAAGAGUGAAAGGCGCUUUCGGGUGUCGCUGAUGGAUGGACCCGCGGUGCAUUAGCUAGUUGGUGAGGUAACGGCUCACCAAGGCCACGAUGCAUAGCCGACCUGAGAGGGUGAUCGGCCACACUGGGACUGAGACACGGCCCAGACUCCUACGGGAGGCAGCAGUAGGGAAUCUUCGGCAAUGGACGAAAGUCUGACCGAGCAACGCCGCGUGAGUGAAGAAGGUUUUCGGAUCGUAAAACUCUGUUGUUAGAGAAGAACAAGGACGUUAGUAACCGAACGUCCCCUGACGGUAUCUAACCAGAAAGCCACGGCUAACUACGUG